rnacentral:lncRNA from 1 species
CAAACCUCUUCGUCCCCACAGCCAACCACACCUACACCUCUGUUUUGCCCAAUGAUUUCUUCAUUUUUGAAAGCAAACAACCCUUUUCUUGGAAUCCCAUAAAUUAGAAGCUGCAGAAGAACCAGAAAAGUGCUUCCCUCUCUUUCACACACAAACCAACAACAGUUACUUCUAAGCUUCGCUGACAAAGAUGAAAUCGGCUUGAGUAUAUCAUCAUAGAAUCCCCAUCUACCAUCUCCAUAACUCCAAUUUGAUGAAAAUUCGCGUAGAUCUGUGUAAGAACUAUUAUUCCUCCUCGCAGUGGAACUUUUGUAGACUCAUUUUCAUUAUCUGAUGAAUGUUAAUCAUACCAUUGAGAUAGAUUUGAUUUGUGGGUUUUAUUUGAUGGAUUUGAUUUCUGAGUUUCAUUUUGUUUAAUUGGUGAAGUUUGAUAUUCAUCAUGGUAUCUGAUGCUACAAAAAAUUGUACCCUGUAGAUCUCCUGAAACAAAGGCAACGAGAUGUAUUUUCAUCACCCCUCCAUGCUUAAGUUAGAAAGCGGAUUGAGGAAAAAACGUACCUAAUUAAUGGGUUGAUGGUCUAUAUUUAUAGUGGUGAGUAGUUCAAUCCUAUAAUGGGUUGAUUGAACUAAUUAGGUGUUCCUUUCGAAGUUCCUUUCGAAUAGAGUUUCACUUGAGAGGAAUGUCCUACUUCUAAUAGAACUGUACGACUAGUGGUGUUAGAGUUGACAUAAAGUCAUUGGGGGUUUAAGCAUUUGUUGUUUGAAUAUAUACAUUUUGAGGACAUUUCAAAGAACUGUGACCCCAGGAGAAUUUUUCAAGGACACUAAGAGGCGAGUCUCAUGGUAGUAUGAACAAAGUCUUCGGGCAUAGUAUCACGAGGACCAACAUUUCUCGAGGACUUCGUGUCAGAAAAUAGAGUUUGAGCAUGUAGGGAGUCGUCGAGUAAAACACUCCUCGAGAUAUCCAAUAUUGGUAGUAUCACUAGUCCCCGUGCACUCUUCGUAGAGCGCGAGCUCCGGGAUGGGGUGCACAUGAGUUGUUAAUCCAUCGUUGUAGAUUGUGUCAUCGAGGAACAUGGGCUAACGAUAUGGUCUUGACUGAUAUGACUAUUGCAGAGAGCAGCCCUGGAUGUGUGACACAUGUCUCUCUGAACAACCAUAGAUGGCGACCUUUGGACUCUUGUCUUUUCUUACCUAUAAAUAUUAUUGUUUACCCCCUCAUUUUUCACUUUUACCCACUGUAAAUCCAAGCUCAGCGAGGUCGAGUUCGAGCAAAAUACUUUGGAACUUCUCCAGUUGUCGGUAACUCCAGGUAAGGCUCGAGAUUCUAAGUUAUUCCAUAAGCUAGGACUUACUUUCAUUAAAUAGUGUCGAGUAGUGAGGGGAGUGAUCGUUCUAAUAGCUCGAGUAAUGGUGAAGACUUAGGCACCUCGAUAAUACUAACAGCUAUUCCUCUAGAUGCCAGACCUAGGGUUCAGGAUAAUGUUGCCUUCGAGUAUCCCGAUGAGGUCUCUACUUUGAAAGAACAUCUGGCUAUAGCUGUAGCUAGGGAGUGUGGCCUAAUGCCUAAUUGCCACAUAAGGUCGCCAGACCCUGAGGAUAGAAUAGUGCGAGAAGUUCAUCAUUUUUAGGGAGACUUUAAAGGCUGAUUUUAGGUGGCCGUUACACCCUUUCUUCAUCGCAAUUUUGGUUAAGCACUCCAUGUGCCCGUGGCAGCUAGUGCCAAUGCCUAGAGAAUGCUCAUGUAUUUCUUUAUAGCUUGUAGGUACUUAGGUAUGGUGCCCUGCGUUGACCUUUGUAAGUUAGUCUUCUGAAAAAGCAUUCUCGGUACACGUGUUUUGGGUAUCUCUCGAUGAUAGGAGGGUUUAGGGUGCCUAAGAUGGCUAGUUCUUUGAAUGGAUGGAAAGGGUUGAUUCUAUGCCAUAGCUCGAGAUAUCGACCUAGCUUACUGGCCUGAAUGGAGAGUCCCCGAUGUUGAGAAGUUUUGUAAGAAUCAAGUGUACCCAGAUACCUUGGAACGAGAUAGGAGGAUGCUAGUGGAGCUCAAUCCCCUCUUCUCGACCAUGAAGAAGAUUAGGGAGGAGGUGAUAGAUCUGGCUGAUGUUAGACGCGUCAAGGGUGGGCCAUAAGCCCUGUGUACUCUUCUGUAAUAUAUCUCAACGUUGUCAACGUUCUAAUGUGUUAUAUUUCAUUUUUUUCAGGCAUGUCGUUCGACCCUCAAGCUUUGCGUAACUUUGUCAAUUUGAGGACUGAUGCCCGACCUCUGGGUUAAACUUCAGCAAAAAAAAAAAAAAAAAAAAAAAAAGGCAAGAAAAGGCCUUGAGGGCCCUUUCCCAAACAUGUGAUGAGGGGUCUAUAAUACUCCGAAAUUUUAUGCUCGUUUAAAUUUCUUUAGGAUAGCAAUUUAACUUUUAAUAUUAUUUUGGCCAUAAGGAUAAGGGGACACCACCUUUGUAGUGGUUAAUGCUAGAGGUAGUUAAUGAAUAUAGGCAUGAAGUGCUAAAUGUUGUGUGCACAUGAAGUGAUUAUUAGUUAGUCGAAACUUAAAUCAAGUUUGAAUUUGAAUGAAGUGGAAUAUUUUGUUAGGACUUCAAUUGACCAAACGAUUAAAUUAUUUUACAAUCUACAAUUUUUGAAUAUGUAAGUUGGAUACAAGUUUAAAUUUGGGAUAUGCUUUGCUAAUAAUGAAAGUUAGAGGGGUUAGAUUAUAUUAGUUGAAAAGAUGAGAGAUUUCCUUUGUAAAUCUAGGAUUUAUGGCCACUUAUUACCCUAUAAUCAACCCACUUGUCAUCCAUCAUCACCAUACACUUAGACAAUAGACUAAACAUGUGUACAAGUAAGAAAAAAAAAGAGAAAAAUGGGAGAAAAGGAGGUCGAGGCGGUGGAGUGAAAAAAAGAAGGAAAAAAAAUAUCAAUCAUUUAUUCUUAUCCUUAUAUAUAUAUAUAUAUAUAUAUAUAUAUAUAUAUAUAUACAUCCAUAUCCAUUGCCAUAGAAAAAAUUUCCUUCACUUUACAAACACUUAUACACUCAAAUAAAGAGCAAUAACCGAAAAUAAGAGAGGAAGGGAGAAGGAAGUAAGCCUAGCACUUCCAAUUUAUAUUUCAAUCGAAGAUCUUCAAAUUUUACGGUAAGAUACUUUCUAUGCUUAAGUGGUAUGAUCUUCAUGGUAAUAUUUAUGCUUAAACUAUGCAUGAAAAACCAUAAUAUGAUUAUGGUGGACAAGUCCACAAAGUUAGAUAUCUAUUUAUGCCUUAGGACAAGUCCGAAGGGCACCGGCAAGCCGAAAUGUGCAAGUAUGGAUUUGAUUGCAUUCUUUUGUGUAGUAUUAUCAUGAUAAAAAUUCAAGCAUGAUAUCUUACUGAGUAUUUCUUAUACUCAUAGUAUGUUAUGCUAAAUUUUCAGAUCCAUGAUCUUGGAUUGAUGAAAGUUAGUUGGCGAAAUCGAUGAUGGAUUAAGGACAAAGAUGUUUUGUACCGAAAGUUUUCUUUUGUAUGUUUUGUUCGAUGACUGUUUCCCAUCUAUUUUUCUUAUGGUAUUAUGUAAAAAUAUGUACAUGACAUGAUGUAAUAUGGUAUUAAUAGUAAAUUUUGUAAUUAUAUCUUUCAUGAUAUGAUAAGAGACAUUUUUGUAGUUUAUUUUCCUUACAAGAGACAAAAGGCAGAAACGGG